rnacentral:rRNA from 1 species
AUCAACUUUCGAUGGUAGGAUAGAGGCCUACCAUGGUGGUAACGGGUAACGGGGUGUUAGGGCACGACACCGGAGAGGGAGCCUGAGAACGGCUACCACAUCCAAGGAUGGCAGCAGGCGCGCAAAUUACCCAAUCCCGACACGGGGAGGUAGUGACAAUAAAUAACAAUACGGGGUCCUUUCGGGUUUCGUAAUUGGAAUGAGUACAAUUUAAAUCUCUUAACGAGGAACAAUUGGAGGGCAAGUCUGGUGCCAGCAGCCGCGGUAAUUCCAGCUCCAAUAGCGUAUAUUAAAGUUGUUGCAGUUAAAAAGCUCGUAGUUGAAUUUCGGGAUUAGUACGUUGGUCGUGCCUUCGGUACGUACUGGUGUUACUGAUUCCUACCUUCUGACGAACCAUCAUGUCAUUAAUUUGGUGUGGUGGGAAAUCAGGACUGUUACUUUGAAAAAAUUAGAGUGUUUAAAGCAGGCUCGCGCUUGAAUACAUUAGCAUGGAAUAAUGAAAUAGGACGUUGACCCUAUUUUGUUGGUUUCUAGGAUUGACGUAAUGAUUAAUAGGGAUAGUUGGGGGCAUUAGUAUUCAAUUGUCAGAGGUGAAAUUCUUGGAUUUAUUGAAGACUAACUACUGCGAAAGCAUUUGCCAAGGAUGUUUUUAUUAAUCAAGAACGAAAGUUAGGGGAUCGAAGACGAUCAGAUACCGUCGUAGUCUUAACCAUAAACUAUGCCGACUAGGGAUCGGAUGAUGUUAUUUUUAAUGACUCAUUUGGCGCCUUACGGGAAACCAAAGUGUUUGGGUUC